AGGGGAGAGAGAGGGGAUAGGUUAGGACUGGGCUGGUUAAGCGUUGUGGGGGAUAUGUUCAGCUAUGAUAACAGCAGCGGGAGUUUGACAUUCUGCACAAGACACAGAGAAAUUGAGGCCUUUGUUGGGUCAUGUUUAGAGAAGGGUUGUGGCCAUUUCAAUACUAUUUUGCCUGUGCAGAUAUGAAGAAUAGAUAGGAGUUUGACAUUCUGCACAAGACACAGAAAUUGAGGCCUUUGUUGGGUCAUGUUUAGAGAAGGGUUGUGGCCAUUUUAAUACUAUUUUGCCUGUGCAGAUAUGAAGAAUAGAUAGGAGUUUGACAUUCUGCACAAGACACAGAAAUUGAGGCCUUCGUUGGGUCAUGUUUAGUUAGAGAAGAAGGUUGUUUUUUUCUUCGACCAUUUAAGAAUCUACUUCACUUAUGCAAAUAUAAAGAAUAGAUGGCAGUAGGAGUUUGACAUUCUGCACAAGACACAGAAAUUGAGGCCUUCGUUGGGUCAUGUUUAGAGGAGGGUUGUGGCCAUUUCAAUACUAUUUUGCCUGUGCAGAUAUGAAGAACAGAUGGCAGUAGGAGUUUGACAUUCUGCACAAGACACAGAAAUUGAGGCCUUCGUUGGGUCAUGUUUAGAGGAGGGUUGUGGCCAUCUUAAUACUACUUUGCCUGUGCAGAUAUGAAGAAUAGAUAGGAGUUUGACGUUCUGCACAAGACACAGAAAUUGAGGCCUUCGUUGGGUCAUGUUUAGUUAGAGAAGAAAGGUUGUGGCCAUUUUACAGUAACUUUGCUUCUGUAGAUUUGCUUGUGUACUUGUGUAGAAUAGACAACACUAGGAAUAUUAAACUCUGAAGAAGGCUCAGAUUUCCUUACUUGAGGCCUUUAUUGGGUCAUGUUUAGUUUGAGAAGAAGGGUUGUGGCCAUUUUACAAGCACUUCACUUGUGUAGAUAUGAAGCAAAGAAGGUGUGUAUUAGAUAUAUUAUACUCUGCAUGACGCUCAGAUUUGCUUACUUGAGGCCUUUGUUGGGUCAUGUUUAGUUAGAGAAGAAGGGUUGUGGCCAUUUUAAAACCACUUCACUUGUGUAGAUAUGAAGUAUAGAAGGUACGAGAUAUAUUAACCCCUUCAACACGAGGACGCGUAUACUGCAUCCUUGCGUGCCCCGUACCUUAUCCAAGGACGCCCAUACUGCGUCCUGCCUCGCUUUAGCCAAUAUACAAGUUAUUUUAUCUCUAUAUUUAUGCUUACAUCUCAAAAUCAUCAAUUAAUUUAUGUUUCUUUAUGUGCACCAUUUAAUUCUGCAUGUUUUCAUAUAUAAUACAUGAUGAUUAUGUUGAGUUUAUGGCUGAAAACUUGUUAUAUUCAAUAGCGACAUUUUAAAUUUGGCGAGCGCGGCGAUCCCGGAUACGGCGCGGGGCACUGUUUUGGCCCGACCAUAGUGAAGAGGUUAACCUGUACAAGGCUCAGAAUUGAUAACUUGGUCUUCGUCCGUUCAUGGUUAAGUUUGAUAGAAAAGAAGAUUAGUAAUGAAACUGAAUGGCCUUCGUCAAAUCAUGGUUUCGAUUGUCAGUAAGAAAAGAAGUAUUGAAACUGAUGAAUGAUGGUAUGUAUGUAGCAGCAUACGACACACUGCACAAGCCUCAGAACUGAUAACUAGGCUUUCGUUAGUUUACAGUUUUGUUUGACGGGAAAGAUUUGUUGUUUCAUGGUUUUGUUUGACGGAUAAGAAGACUAGAAAUCACAGCAAUAAAUGAUGUUAUGUAUGCAGCAGGAUAUGACACUCGGCACAAGCUACACACUUGGUUAUCAAGGCCUUCAUGAGAUCACCGUUUAAUUCAUAAGAGAAAAAAAGACUCAUGACCACUCAACACUAAUAAAACUUGUGCAGACAGAGAGAAUUGAACACUGAGGAAGAAGGGGAUCUGAUGCCUUCCUAGUUAUCAAGGCCUUCACGAGAUCACCGUUUAAUUUAUAAGAGAAAAAAAAUAGAAUCAUGACCACUCAACACUAAUAACGCUUGUGCAGACAUAGAGAAUUGAACACUGAGCAAGAGGGGGAUCUGAUGCCUUCCUAGUUAUCAAGGCCUUCACGAGAUCACCGUUUAAUUCAUAAGAGAAA